AGAGAGAGAGAGAGAGAGAGAGAGUGAGGUGAGGGAGCGAGAGGUUGAGAGGAACCCACCUCAUUUUCUCGCUUUCUAAGAAAAAAGAAGAAGAAGAAGAAGAAGAAGAAGAUGGAAGGAUGAUGAUGAUGAUUAUGAGUCAACAAAUAACAACGCAAAGGAAAACACACAACAAAGAAAGAAAGAUGCAAAUAUACAUAUAGAUACGGAGAGGGAGAGCGUGUCUCUCUGUGAUUGUGUGUGUGUGUGUGUGUGUGUGUGUG
rnacentral:misc_RNA from 1 species